AACGAGCGCUGGCGGCAUGCCUAACACAUGCAAGUCGAACGAGAUCUUCGGGUCUAGUGGCGCACGGGUGCGUAACGCGUGGGAAUCUGCCCUUUGGUUCGGAAUAACAGUUGGAAACGACUGCUAAUACCGGAUGAUGACGAAAGUCCAAAGAUUUAUCGCCAGAGGAUGAGCCCGAGUAGGAUUAGCUAGUUGGUUUGGUAAAGGCGCACCAAGGCGACGAUCCUUAGCUGGUCUGAGAGGAUGAUCAGCCACACUGGGACUGAGACACGGCCCAGACUCCUACGGGAGGCAGCAGUGGGGAAUAUUGGACAAUGGGCGAAAGCCUGAUCCAGCAAUGCCGCGUGAGUGAUGAAGGCCUUAGGGUUGUAAAGCUCUUUUACCCGGGAUGAUAAUGACGGUACCGGGAGAAUAAGCUCCGGCUAACUCCGUGCCAGCCGCCGCGGUAA
rnacentral:rRNA from 1 species